rnacentral:rRNA from 1 species
GCGGAGGAAAAGAAACCAACAGGGAUUGCCUUAGUAACGGCGAGUGAAGCGGCAACAGCUCAAAUUUGAAAUCUGGCCCCAGGCCCGAGUUGUAAUUUGCAGAGGAUGCUUUUGGCGCGGUGCCUUCCGAGUUCCCUGGAACGGGACGCCAUAGAGGGUGAGAGCCCCGUCUGGUUGGAUACCAAGCCUUUGUAAAGCUCCUUCGACGAGUCGAGUAGUUUGGGAAUGCUGCUCUAAAUGGGAGGUAUAUGUCUUCUAAAGCUAAAUACCGGCCAGAGACCGAUAGCGCACAAGUAGAGUGAUCGAAAGAUGAAAAGCACUUUGGAAAGAGAGUUAAACAGCACGUGAAAUUGUUAAAAGGGAAGCGUUUAUGACCAGACUUGGGCCGGUUAAUCAUCCAGCGUUCUCGCUGGUGCACUUUGCCGGUCCAGGCCAGCAUCAGUUCGCUGCGGGGGAUAAAGGCGUCGGGAAUGUGGCUCCUCCGGAGUGUUAUAGCCCUUCGCGCAAUACCCUGCGGUGGACUGAGGUUCGCGCAUCUGCAAGGAUGCUGGCGUAAUGGUCAUCAACGACCCGUCUUGAAACACGGACCAAGGAGUCGUCUUCGUAUGCGAGUGUUCGGGUGUAAAACCCCUACGCGUAAUGAAAGUGAACGCAGGUGAGAGCUUCGGCGCAUCAUCGACCGAUCCUGAUGUUCUCGGAUGGAUUUGAGUAAGAGCAUACGGGGCCGGACCCGAAAGAAGGUGAACUAUGCCUGUAUAGGGUGAAGCCAGAGGAAACUCUGGUGGAGGCUCGCAGCGGUUCUGACGUGCAAAUCGAUCGUCAAAUAUGGGCAUGGGGGCGAAAGACUAAUCGAACCUUCUAGUAGCUGGUUUCCGCCGAAGUUUCC